GAGGGUAUAGCUCAUUGGUAGAGUGCAUGCUUAGCAUGCAUGAGGUCCUGGGUUCAAUCCCCAGUACUUCCA
rnacentral:tRNA from 1 species